AACGAACGCUGGCGGCGCGUCUUAAACAUGCAAGUCGAACGAUCUGUAGCAAUACAGGGAGUGGCGGACGGGUGAGGAACACGUAGGAAUCUACCUUGAAGAGCGGGACAACUUUGGGAAACCGGGGCUAAUACCGCAUAGUACAGAGAUGUUAAAGGGCUAGCAAUAGUCGCUUCGAGAUGAGCCUGCGGUCUAUCAGCUUGUUGGUGAGGUAAUGGCUCACCAAGGCUACGACGGAUAGCCGGUCUGAGAGGAUGAUCGGCCACACUGGCACUGAGACACGGGCCAGACUCCUACGGGAGGCAGCAGUUAAGAAUCUUGCGCAAUGGGGGAAACCCUGACGCAGCGACGCCGCGUGAAGGAUGAAGGCUUUCGGGUUGUAAACUUCGGUAGACUGGGAAGAAGAAAUACGUUCGUUGAGGGCGUAUAGUGACGGUACCAGUCUGAACGCCCGGCUAAUUACGUGCCAGCAGCCG
rnacentral:rRNA from 1 species